rnacentral:lncRNA from 10 species
UGCAAAUGGGUUUUUCCAACAGGGAGAGAAACUUUUAAUUGCCAUUGGAUGGAGAUGGACUCCUCGGCUGGAGGAGGGGAAGGCACCAUGCAUGCGUGGCAGGGAAUGCUGGCCAGCCAGCCAAGCGGGGACUUGGGCCAUGCGCCAUAGCCCCAGCUCAGCUAAAAUCUGAGUUCCUGUCUCAUGACCAGGAAAAAUUAGGCACACAGACAAAUUGAAAGUUGAGGAGAGUAGAAUUUAUUAAAAGAAAGCUCUCAGCAAAGAAAGGGGGUCCUGCCAACAGGCUCUCACCUCACAUAUUGAAUAUCAGACCACCACACAGGAGCUGAAGAGGACAGGCUUCUCCCUGCAUAAAGAGUGAAUUCCUGGUGUCUCCACCCUGUUCUCCCAGUGUACAUACAGGUGGGUCCUUAGUCUGAGCCAUUCCACAUUGAUUUAUUUCCCUUACUGCAUAUGUGUUAGGAAAUGAAAUUUUUCACCUUGGGUAUGUUUAAGCAAGCCUCCUGUGCACAGUGCCCUGGUUGGCAUUUGGCUGUCUCCCGUCUCUCUCGCAAGCACACACGAUGACUUGAGAUGAUGCAUAUAUUCAAGGAAUGGAUAUUAUAAAAAUAAAAAUUAUUAAUCUGGGCCAUGUUCACACUUCUGUUGCUCUUUAUUUCCUUGACUGGGGGAAGUUUUC